rnacentral:rRNA from 1 species
GAUGAAUGCUGGCGGCGCGCCUAACACAUGCAAGUCGAGCGGAAAGGCCCUUCGGGGUACUCGAGCGGCGGACGGCUGAGUAACGCGUGGGAACAUGCCCCAAAGUGAGGAAUAACUGCCCGAAAGGGUAGCUAAUGCCGCAUAUGAUCUUCGGAUUAAAGGAUUUAUCCGCUUUGGGAGUGGCCCGCGUACGAUUAGGUAGUUGGUGAGGUAAAGGCUCACCAAGCCUACGAUCGUUAACUGGUCUGAGAGGAAGAUCAGUCAGACUGGAACUGAGACACGGUCCAGACUCCUACGGGAGGCAGCAGUGAGGAAUCUUCCACAAUGGGCGAAAGCCUGAUGGAGCGACGCCGCGUGCAGGAUGAAGGCCUUCGGGUUGUAAACUGCUUUUAUAAGUGAAGAAUAUGACGGUAACUUAUGAAUAAGCACCGGCUAACUACGUGCCAGCCGCCGCUGUAA